GUAGGUGGCAAGCGUUGUCCGGAAUUAUUGGGCGUAAAGCGCGCGCAGGCGGGGUCCUUUAAGUCUGAUGUGAAAGCCCACGGGCUCAACCGUGGAGGGUCAUUGGAAACUGGGGGACUUGAGUACAGAAGAGGAAAGCGGAAAUCCAAGUGUAGCGGUGAAAUGCGUAGAGAUUUGGAGGAACACCAGUGGCGAAGGCGGCUUUCUGGUCUGUAACUGACGCUGAGGCGCGAAAGCGUGGGGAGCAAACAGGAUUAGAUACCCUGGUAGUCCACGCCGUAAACGAUGAGUGCUAAGUGUUAGGGGGUUUCCGCCCCUUAGUGCUGCAGCUAACGCAUUAAGCACUCCGCCUGGGGAGUACGGCCGCAAAGGCUG
rnacentral:rRNA from 1 species